GUGCUUUGUUACAAGCUGAAGGCCUCAUGACUGUGUGUAGCGCUAGGCUGAGCAACCAAAAGAACCUGGCUUCUAGUAGAUGGAGAUACCGCAUGACUGCGUGUCAAGUCUGGGGUGAAGGAAGAACUGGCCUACCGACAGACGGAGGCGCUAGACUGACCAACGGACAUGACCUCAACAAGAUGGUGCAUACAGUAGGAGGAUUAACGUGCAGAAGACACGUGAACCAAGAGGGUUCGGUGCAUGGAGAAGGAGCAAAACCAAACCUGAACAGGCAAGGGAAAGAAGGCCAAAGACUGCGUGGCAGUAUUGUAAUGACCUGUGCUUCACUGUGUCACUGUAUCCACCACUGUACUGUAAAUACUGUACGUGUGCACUGAACUACUGGAUUGUGUGCUUCUUGUUACACUCCCCACACCCCAUCACAGAGCAUACCAUAUUAAUGUUUAAAAUGGGCAGAGUUAAUUAAAGACUGAUGGUUACUCUUUGAAAAUUAUGCAACAGCAUGUGUUUGAA